rnacentral:misc_RNA from 1 species
UACGUAGGUGGGAAUCGGUGUCCGGGAUUAUUGGGCGGAAAGCGCGCGCAGGUGGUUCCUUAAGUCUGAUGUGAAAGCCCACGGCUCAACCGUGGAGGGUCAUUGGAAACUGGGGAACUUGAGUGCAGAAGAGGAAAGUGGAAUUCCACGUGUAGCGGUGAAAUGCGUAGAGAUGUGGAGGAACACCAGUGGCGAAGGCGACUUUCUGGUCUGUAACUGACACUGAGGCGCGAAAGCGUGGGGAGCGACCAGG